GAUGAACGCUGGCGGCGUGCCUAAUACAUGCAAGUCGAGCGAACAGACGAGGAGCUUGCUCCUCUGACGUUAGCGGCGGACGGGUGAGUAACACGUGGAUAACCUACCUAUAAGACUGGGAUAACUUCGGGAAACCGGAGCUAAUACCGGAUAAUAUAUUGAACCGCAUGGUUCAAUAGUGAAAGACGGUUUUGCUGUCACUUAUAGAUGGAUCCGCGCCGCAUUAGCUAGUUGGUAAGGUAACGGCUUACCAAGGCAACGAUGCGUAGCCGACCUGAGAGGGGGAUCGGCCACACGGGAACUGAGACACGGUCCAGAACCCUACGGGAGGCAGCAGGAGGGAAUUUUCCGCAAUGGGCGAAAGCCUGACGGAGAAACGCCGGGUGAGGGAAGAAGGGCUUCGGAUCGUAAAACUUUGUUAUUAGGGAAGAAAAAAUGUGUAAGUAACUAUGCACGUUUUGACGGUACCUAAGCAGAAAGCCACGGCUAACUACGU
rnacentral:rRNA from 1 species